AUGAACGCUGGCGGCGUGCCUAAUACAUGCAAGUCGAACGAAACUUCUUUAUCACCGAGUGCUUGCACUCACCGAUAAAGAGUUGAGUGGCGAACGGGUGAGUAACACGUGGGCAACCUGCCCAAAAGAGGGGGAUAACACUUGGAAACAGGUGCUAAUACCGCAUAACCAUAGUUACCGCAUGGUAACUAUGUAAAAGGUGGCUAUACUACCGCUUCUGGAUGGGCCCGCGGCGCAUUAGUUAGUUGGUAGGGUAAAGGCUUACCAAGGCAAUGAUGUGUAGUCGAUUGCAUAGGUUGGUCGGCCACGUUGGGACUUCGACACGGCCCAAACGCCUACGGGCUGCAGCAGUAGGGAAUCUUCCACAAUGGGCGAAUGCCUGAUGGGGCAGCGCCGCGUGGGUUGCGAAGGUCUUCGGAUCGUUAGACCCUGUUGUUGGGGAAGAAAGUGCGUGAGCGUAACUGUUCACGUUUCGACGGUAUCUAACCAGAAAGCCACGGCUAACUACGUG
rnacentral:rRNA from 1 species